GAGUUUGAUCAUGGCUCAGAUUGAACGCUGGCGGCAUGCCUUACACAUGCAAGUCGAACGGCAGCAUGAUCUAGCUUGCUAGAUUGAUGGCGAGUGGCGAACGGGUGAGUAAUACAUCGGAACGUGCCCUGUAGUGGGGAUAACUAGUCGAAAGAUUAGCUAAUACCGCAUACGACCUGAGGGUGAAAGUGGGGGACCGCAAGGCCUCAUGCUAUAGGAGCGGCCGAUGUCUGAUUAGCUAGUUGGUGGGGUAAAGGCCCACCAAGGCGACGAUCAGUAGCUGGUCUGAGAGGACGAUCAGCCACACUGGGACUGAGACACGGCCCAGACUCCUACGGGAGGCAGCAGUGGGGAAUUUUGGACAAUGGGCGAAAGCCUGAUCCAGCAAUGCCGCGUGUGUGAAGAAGGCCUCGGUUGUAAG
rnacentral:rRNA from 1 species